ensembl:lncRNA
UGCACAGUGUAUUUAGGUCAGCAUGUAAAGAGUUAAGAGUUCGUGUCUGGUUAUUUACACAAGUGAAUAGAACAACAAUCAUCUAACAAGCCAAUUUUCAGGACAAUUUUCCCACUGGACCACAACAAAACUAGACUCUAGGUGAACACGUAGUGUUUCUGCAGUGAGUGCACAUGACUGCGCAGAAGUUUGAUGAUGGAAAACCAUCAGCCCAUUGCUCAAGGCGACCCGUCACUCCACAGACCAGCGCCAAAUCAAACAGUCCCAGGUCAAAGGUCAAACCCUCGGCCGCUGGGACAUCCCAUGCGCUUCAGCACAGCAUAAUGAGCUCGUAAGACAGAGUUUGAUAUAAUCAGGGGAAAAGAGCGAAUCCCAGCCCAGAGUCGAGUUAUGUCCUCGAAUGGACACCUGUGAGAUCUGCUGCUCCAAAACACACACAUUCAGUCGCCCGCGCCGCUUUACUGCCAAGACACACAGUUUUAGCAACAUGGAGGUCUGGAGGUUUGUCCCCCGAGGGCUGGAGGGAUACGUGACUGAGCGCAUGCAGCAGCGGCGAUGGGCGUCACUGAGAACCUUAGCAUUGAGCAACUUCAAGUGGACAAUAGUUCCUCUGUGGAGGACGAGCAUUUGCUAAACGUUCAGAAAUAUCAUCAAUUUGAUGGCACUGUCGCUUAAAGAGACUGCGUUAUCAGUCUCAACUCAUGCCAUUCAUGUUAAACUGAAGUAAUAUUGUUUGUGUGCAAUGCUUAAACAUUUAAAUGUUACUUUUGAAUGGUCUCGGAAUGUUCUGAAACAAGUAAUGACAUUUAAAAAUGUUGGAAAUUUACUUUUAAAAGUGAUGCAUGUCACCUGGGCUGGGAUUGUUUGUUUAUUUUUAACAACAACAAACCCUAAAGUUCUAUUUCUGGUAACUGUGAUGAAGGCCCUUUCACACCAAAAGUGAAAUGAAUACUCCUCCGCCUCUGCACUUACUCACAGUUUCUCUCAACACUGAGACAGGAGAGCUGUCAGUCAAUAAAUGGGAAAAGAAAGUCAUGUGCAUUACAUAUUUGAAAAAAAUAUAUUUUCUUGGAAAUGUAAAAGUAGUGUUACUUUACAAGUUAGUAAUCUGAUUGCGUAACUUAUAAUGCAUUACAACACAACAUUGGUGCUAGAACAUUAUUAAAGCACAGAAAACUUUGCACAAAUGUUCUAUUAAUGUUCCUAACUUUGACAGAACAUUGCUAGAAUGUUAGCCAAAGUUCUGAGAACAUUCUCUGUUAAUACUAACUAUUCAUGUUAAAGCAGUAUUGUUUGUAUGGAAUACAUAAUAGGGCUUGAUUAUACAUAAUUUAAGCUACCAGCUGAACUCAAAUAAGCUGAUAAAGUUUGACAGACUUCUAUUUUCAACUUUAUAUGAAGAGCUUGGCGAUGAUAUUACACUGUGCAAAAUAGGCAGUUAAGAUUUACUAUAUAGUUAUAUAGUAUAUAAUUUCACACGGGUAUACAGCAUGUGCAUGGAUAAAGUUGUAGAUAAUUUCACGGUAAACAAAAAUAUAUUCUAAGAAUGUUUUGGUAACAUUAAGUUAUAAAAAUGUUAUUUCUAAAUGUUCUCUGAGCAACGCCCAUGUUUAAUUUUUUAGAAAGGUUUAUCUUGGUUACACAAACACUGAUGGAACAUUAAAUGUUCCUUGAAUGAUGCAUAAAUAAAA